AUGUAUGUGUGUGUGUGUUUAUGUUUGUGUGUGCGCGGAUGUCUGCCGUGAAUCGGUAGAGUUCAGUGAACCGUCGCGAAGAGACGUUUCCGCCCACAAGAAAGAUGGCGGCUCCCUUGAUGGAGAAGCUAUCGGAGUCCUUAGGUUCCCCGGAGCCAGCGGUUCGACUCAUUUUAUCUAUUUUAAUCGGGUAUCCUUGUGCUCUGCUAUACCGGCGGUUCUUGUUCCACCAGCCUGCUGCAGUUAUCCACUUGUUCCACACGUUCUCCGGACUGGCUCUAGCAGCAUUUAACUUUGGCUGUCAGAUCUAUCACUCCGCAGUAUGCAUCCUUGUCCAAUUCCUGAUGCUGAGGCUCAUGGGAAGGACGGUUACAACUGUCCUGAGCAGCUUUACAUUUCAAAUGGUUUACCUGCUGGCAGGGUAUUACUACACAGCGACAGAGGAGUAUGACAUCAAGUGGACUAUGCCUCAUUGUGUACUCACUCUCAAACUUGUUGGUUUGUCAUUUGAUUACUUUGACGGCGGGAAAGAACCAUCCCAGCUGAGCUCAGAGCAGAAGGCUGGAGCUCUGUCUUCUGUGCCCUCUCUGCUCGAGGUGUGCGGCUUUUCCUACUUCUAUGGAGGCUUCCUGGUGGGGCCCCAGUUUACGAUGCGCAGCUACCAGAGGCUGGUGGCAGGGGAGCUCACCGACUGCCCUGGAAAGCCUCCUAACAGUGUUAUACCAGCUAUGAAGAGGUUUGGUCUGGGUUUUGUCUGCCUCGUGAUAUAUACAGUAUUUAGUCCUUAUUACCCAGACAACUACUACUUAACAGACGAGUAUGAGGCUCAACCGUUCUGGUAUCGCUGUGUCUUUAUUCUGCUCUGGGCUAAAGUAAUUUUGUAUAAAUAUGUCAGCUGUUGGGUUAUAGCGGAGGGUGUAUGUGUACUAUCUGGGCUCGGCUAUAAUGGUGUAAUAGAUGGUACGCACCAGUGGGACGCCUGUGCCAAUAUGAAAGUGUGGAUGUUUGAAACCACGCCACUCUUUGGAGGAACCAUCGCUUCUUUCAACAUCAACACAAACGCCUGGGUUGCCAGGCAUGUGUUCAAGCGCUUGAAGUUCCUGGGCAAUAAAACCCUGUCCCAUGUGACCACGCUGUUGUUUUUGACAAUAUGGCAUGGCCUUCACUCCGGAUACUUCUUGUGCUUCUCUAUGGAGUUCUUCAUUAUCACUGUAGAGAGACAGGCCCUGACACUAGUGAGGGACAGUCCCUUGCUGUCAAAAGUGGCCAACAGCGCACUCUACCCGCUCAUCUAUGUAGUCCAGCAGUUUAUUCACUGGCUCUUCAUGGGCUACCCCCUGGUGCCGUUCUGCCUCUUCACCUACGACAAAUGGCUCAAGAGCUGUCUGCAUUGGCACCACCACUGGGUCGAUGGACUUGUUUAAAUUAAUUGGGAGAGACUGCAUUUUUUCACAUAAAUUAGCCCUAAAGCAGCCUUAAACCUCCUUAAACAUGGAAAAAAAAGAUAACAGACAGGUUUGCAGAAACAGAACUUGGUGGAACUGCGUCAGGUGAACUACUCUGAGGGACGGAUAUGUAGAGAAGAGCAGAGUCAGGUGAUUGACAAAGGAAGGAGAUUGUGGACAGGUCUACUCGUCUGUCUAUUUCUGCGGUCACCUAUUCUUCCUCGUAGCCUUUUUAAUCAUGCCAUACCUCCGUAAGGCGCUGGUGCCUCC